rnacentral:rRNA from 1 species
GCGUUGUUCGUGAAAUCUCACGGCUUAACUGUGAGCGUGCGGGCGAUACGGGCAGACUUGAGUACUGCAGGGGAGACUGGAAUUCCUGGUGUAGCGGUGGAAUGCGCAGAUAUCAGGAGGAACACCGGUGGCGAAGGCGGGUCUCUGGGCAGUAACUGACGCUGAGGAGCGAAAGCGUGGGGAGCGAACAGGAUUAGAUACCCUGGUAGUCCACGCCGUAAACGGUGGGUACUAGGUGUGGGUUUCCUUCCUUGGGAUCCGUGCCGUAGCUAACGCAUUAAGUACCCCGCCUGGGGAGUACGGCCGCAAGGCUAACACUCAAAGAAAUUGACGAGGGCCCGCACAAGCGGCGGAGCAUGUGGAUUAAUUCGAUGCUACGCGAAGAACCUUACCUGGGUUUGACAUGCACAGGACGCCGGCAGAGAUGUCGGUUCCCUGUGGCCUGUGUGCAGGUGGUGCAUGGCUGUCGUCAGCACGUGUCGUGAGAUGUUGGGUUAAGUCCCGCAACGAGCGCAACCCUUGUCUCAUGUUGCCAGCGGGUAAUGCCGGGGACUCGUGAGAGACUGCCGGGGUCAACUCGGAGGAAGGUGGGGAUGACGUCAAGUCAUCAUGCCCCUUAUGUCCAGGGCUUCACACAUGCUACAAUGGCCGGUACAAAGGGCUGCGAUGCCGCGAGGUUAAGCGAAUCCCUUUAAAGCCGGUCUCAGUUCGGAUCGGGGUCUGCAACUCGACCCCGUGAAGUCGGAGUC